UGCAAGUCGUACGAGAGUUUUUAACUCAAGUGGCGGACGGGUGAGUAACACGUAAGAAUUUGCCUUUAGGAGGGGGAUAACAUUUGGAAACGAAUGCUAAUACCCCAUAUGCUUUUAAGUGAAAUGGUAUUUUAUAUUAGCUUUUAUGUUAAUAUGUUAAUCUAUAAUUUUAAAUAUUAUUUAUAACCGCCUAAAGAGAAGCUUGCGGCUGAUUAGCUUGUUGGUAAGGUAAUGGCUUACCAAGGCGACGAUCAGUAUCUGGUUUGAGAGGAUGAUCAGACACACUGGAACUGAGACACGGUCCAGACUCCUACGGGAGGCAGCAGUGGGGAAUUUUCCGCAAUGGGCGAAAGCCUGACGGAGCAAUACCGCGUGAGGGAUGACUGCCUAUGGGUUGUAAACCUCUUUUUUCAGGGAGGAAUAAAUGACGUUACCUGAAGAAUAAGCAUCGGCUAACUCCGUGCCAGCAGCCGCGGUAAGACGGAGGAUGCAAGUGUUAUCCGGAAUCACUGGGCGUAAAGCGUCUGUAGGUGGUUUAAUAAGUCAACUGUUAAAUCUUGAGGCUCAACCUCAAAACUGCAGUCGAAACUAUUAGACUAGAGUAUAGUAGGGGUAAAGGGAAUUUCCAGUGGAGCGGUGAAAUGCGUAGAGAUUGGAAAGAACACCGAUGGCGAAGGCACUUUACUGGGCUAUUACUAACACUCAGAGACGAAAGCUAGGGUAGCAAAUGGGAUUAGAUACC
rnacentral:rRNA from 1 species